CCUACGGGAGGCAGCAGUGAGGAAUAUUGGUCAAUGGGCGUACGCCUGAACCAGCCAAGUCGCGUGAGGGAAGACUGCCCUAUGGGUUGUAAACCUCUUUUGUCAGGGAGCAACGCCGGCUACGUGUAGCCGGACUGAGAGUACCUGCAGAAAAAGCAUCGGCUAACUACGUGCCAGCAGCCGCGGUAGUACGGAGGAUGCGAGCGUUAUCCGGAUGUAUUGGGUUAAAGGGGUGCGUAGGCGGAAUGCCAAGUCAGCGGGAAAUUCCCGGGGCUCAACCUCGCUCCGCCGUUGAAACUGGCGUUCUUGAGUCUGCGAGAAGGAUGCAGAAUGCGUGGUGUAGCGGUGAAAUGCAUAGAUAUGACGCAGAACUCCGAUUGCGAAGGCAGCAUACCGGCGCCCAACUGACGCUGAAGCACGAAAGCGUGGGUAUCGAACAGGAUUAGAUACCCCUGUAGUC
rnacentral:rRNA from 1 species